rnacentral:rRNA from 1 species
GACGAACGCUGGCGGCGUGCCUAAUACAUGCAAGUCGAGCGGAUGGAAGGAAGCUUGCUUCCUAAAGUCAGCGGCGGACGGGUGAGUAACACGUGGGCAACCUGCCCCAAAGAUCGGGAUAACUUCGGGAAACCGGAGCUAAUACCGGAUAUGAUUAUAUCUCACAUGAGACAUAAUGGAAAGACGGUUUCGGCUGUCACUUAGGGAUGGGCACGCGGCGCAUUAGCUAGUUGGUGAGGUAACGGCUCACCAAGGCGACGAUGCGUAGCCGACCUGAGAGGGUGAUCGGCCACACUGGGACUGAGACACGGCCCAGACUCCUACGGGAGGCAGCAGUAGGGAAUCUUCCGCAAUGGACGAAAGUCUGACGGAGCAACGCCGCGUGAGUGAAGAAGGUUUUCGGAUCGUAAAACUCUGUUGUUAGGGAAGAACAAGUACCAUAGUAACUGAUGGUACCUUGACGGUACCUAACCAGAAAGCCACGGCUAACUACGUGCCAGCCGCCGCGGUAACAC